UCAAUCAUCAGAAAACAGGUUUCCUCUUUUACCAGUCUACUAGUAUCCCUAGGGAUCCAUAGGGGGUCCCCUCUACACGUGAACCAUUAACAUUCACAACCUGAUUCCAGGGCCGUCCCCAUACCCCGUCUGGUAUGGGUGCCAAAACCAUGAACCUCAAUACCCCAUCCGAUAUGGGGGUGAAACGGGCCGUCCCCAUCCCCGCCCGGUAUGGGCGACAAAACACAUAAAGUCUCCAUACCCCGUCCGGUAUGAGAGACCACGUUCCCGGUAGGGUUCCCUACGGACCCAGUCCAUCCACCAUCUCCUAGAUAUCUAGUCAGGCUGUCCACAUUAUCCACUUAUCAAUUCACAUAACCUUUUUGCCCUUUUUCUUGGUUUCAAUCAUCCAAACACACACAACAUGUAAACCAGUAAUGGACACCAAACAAGAUAACACAGUAUCGGAUUCAUCAUAAUACAAACCAUAAUAAAAGAAACCAUGAUUCAUGCAUACGAGACCAUAACAUAAUUACAUCAAACAUCAUGCUGCAUUUAAUACUGAAAAUUAAAUCAAACAAUAACAGACCAACACUGUAUCAGGCUCGGGCUCCACUGACAACCUUAAUCAAUCAUACAUCUAUAAAGUCACACAGUAUAGUUUAAUUAUUUAUUUAGCUUUAAUACCGUGAUAGGAAGUAGGGUGAGGGGUUCUUACUUGUUUCGGGGUCUGAAUACGGCUCUACAGUGCGCCUACAGGCUGUUCCUAAUUUUCUUGAAUUUUUUUUCAGAAACUGAAACGCACUACCGGUACCU
rnacentral:lncRNA from 1 species